rnacentral:misc_RNA from 1 species
UGUGGGAGCGAGCCUGCUCGCGAUGACGUCGGCACAGUCAACAUUGAUGUUGAUUGAUCCAUCGCCAUCGCGAGCAGGCUCGCUCCCACA